rnacentral:rRNA from 1 species
AGAGUUUGAUUCUGGCUCAGAACGAACGCUGGCGGCGUGGAUAAGACAUGCAAGUCGAACGAGAGAAUUGCUAGCUUGCUAAUAAUUCUCUAGUGGCGCACGGGUGAGUAACACGUGAGUAACCUGCCCCCAAGAGUGGGAUAGCCCCGGGAAACUGGGAUUAAUACCGCAUAAAAUCGAAAGAUUAAAGCAGCAAUGCGCUUGGGGAUGGGCUCGCGGCCUCUUAGUUAGUUGGUGAGGUAACGGCUCACCAAGGCGAUGACGGGUAGCCGGUCUGAGAGGAUGUCCGGCCACACUGGAACUGAGACACGGUCCAGACACCUACGGGUGGCAGCAGUCGAGAAUCAUUCACAAUGGGGGAAACCCUGAUGGUGCGACGCCGCGUGGGGGAAUGAAGGUCUUCGGAUUGUAAACCCCUGUCAUGUGGGAGCAAAUUAAAAAGAUAGUACCACAAGAGGAAGAGACGGCUAACUCUGUGCCAGCAGCCGCGGUAAUACAGAGGUCUCAAGCGUUGUUCGGAAUCACUGGGCGUAAAGCGUGCGUAGGCUGUUUCGUAAGUCGUGUGUGAAAGGCGCGGGCUCAACCCGCGGACGGCACAUGAUACUGCGAGACUAGAGUAAUGGAGGGGGAACCGGAAUUCUCGGUGUAGCAGUGAAAUGCGUAGAUAUCGAGAGGAACACUCGUGGCGAAGGCGGGUUCCUGGACAUUAACUGACGCUGAGGCACGAAGGCCAGGGGAGCGAAAGGGAUUAGAUACCCCUGUAGUCCUGGCAGUAAACGGUGCACGCUUGGUGUGCGGGGAAUCGACCCCCUGCGUGCCGGAGCUAACGCGUUAAGCGUGCCGCCUGGGGAGUACGGUCGCAAGAUUAAAACUCAAAGAAAUUGACGGGGACCCGCACAAGCGGUGGAGUAUGUGGCUUAAUUCGAUGCAACGCGAAGAACCUUACCUGGGCUUGACAU